rnacentral:rRNA from 1 species
AUGCUCUUGCCGGUGAUGAUUCACGGCAAGCGCCUAGUGGCCCUCUUGGUUACGGGCUCCACACAUAACUUCCUACCCGAGGCUACCAUGUGCCGCUUAGCGCUUCAGCCGACGGGCGGGGAGCAACUUUGGGUCACGGUGGCUAAUGGCGACCGCCUCCGGUGUCAUGGGCUGGCACGGAACGUGCCCAUCACUAUCGGCGACAAGCACUUCACCAUCACGUGUGUGGGCAUCGACUUGGGCUGCUUCGACUUCAUCCUCGGCGUUGACUUCUUGCGGACCCUUGGUCCCAUCCUCUGGGACUUCAACGCCCUGACGAUGACCUUCUGGCGCCAGGGUCGCCGCGUCCGGUGGGAGGGCGUGGAUGGCGCAUCUCCAGCGACGCCGCAGCUUCAGCUGGCCGCGGCCGCCACCGAGCUCGAGCAUCCCUUGCUGGAUCACCUCCUGUAG